rnacentral:tRNA from 1 species
GAGAAAGUCAGAAUGGUUAUGUGGCUGGCUUGAAACCAGUCUUAGGGGUUCAAUUCCUUCCUUUCUUG